rnacentral:rRNA from 1 species
GGGCUCGCGUUGUCCGGAUUUAUUGGGCGUAAAGAGCGUGUAGGCGGCCAGGUAGGUCUGCUGUGAAAACUCGAGGCUCAACCUCGAGACGUCGGCGGAAACCAUCUGGCUAGAGUCCGGAAGAGGAGAAUGGAAUUCCCGGUGUAGCGGUGAAAUGCGCAGAUAUCGGGAAGAACACCCGUGGCGAAGGCGGUUCUCUGGGACGGUACUGACGCUGAGACGCGAAAGCGGGGGGAGCGAACAGG